rnacentral:lncRNA from 1 species
AUCUUUAAAGGAUGGAUCAGAGGGCUCACUAGAGCCCAACAAAUCAUCUUUGAAUAUAUUAACCUCUAUAGGAAAUAAGUUUAUUUUUAAAGUAAAAUAAUUAUCUCUCUAACAUACAUUUUAUAUCUACAUAUCUUUGGUGAGGGCUUUUGUACCCUGGCACAAUCUCUUUGAAAUGGGUUAUUUCUAGUGUGACUGCAUAAUCUUCUUGGAAGAGGUUCUUUUUAGUACGAUAGCUCCAUCCUCUGUAAUCCCAGGAUUAUCCAAAUUCUUGCUCUUUUCUUGUUUAGGUUAACAAUGUCUCCACUUCUGGUAAUAAGAUAAGUUUUCUUUUAAAGGAUUAUCUCUUCUUCUUUUUAAUUUAUUUUUCUCAUAUCUAUACUCUUGGCUCUUUUUUGUUUUUUGAACAAAGGUUUCAUUCACUUCAAGGAAUGGUUUGG